UACAAGGAUUCCCCUAGUAACGGCGAGUGAAGCGGGAAGAGCUCAAAUUUAAAAUCUAGUUUGCUUGCAAACUCGAGUUGUAGUCUGAAGAAACGUUUUCCAUGAAAGCUGAGGCACAAGUCCUUUGGAACAGGGCAUCAUAGAGGGUGAGAAUCCCGUCCAUGGUCUCAAGUCUUUCAUUUUGUGAUACGUUUUCUAAGAGUCAGGUUGUUUGGGAAUGCAGCCUAAAAUGGGUGGUAAAUUUCAUCUAAAGCUAAAUAUUGGCGAGAGACCGAUAGCGAACAAGUACCGUGAGGGAAAGAUGAAAAGAACUUUGAAAAGAGAGUUAAAAAGUACGUGAAAUUGUUGAAAGGGAACCGUUUGAAGCCAGUCUUGUUUUUUUGUGAUCAGUCUCAGCUUUGGCUGGGAUGCACUCUCAAUUUUACAGGUCAACGUCAGUUUGAGAAGUGGGAAAAAAAUUUGAGGAAUGUGGCCUUCGGGUGUUAUAGCCUCUUAUUAAAUACCAUUUCCUGGACUGAGGCUCGCAGCAAAAAUCUUGGCAGACUUGCUUCUGAGGUGAACCAUUAUUAAGACAGCUUGCUGACUUAGUUUUGUCUAACUUCACAGUAAGUUUCGCUUCUAAUUUGCUUAGGUCGUUGACAUAAUGGCUUUAAAUGACCCGCUUG
rnacentral:rRNA from 1 species